CGGGUCGCGGCCCUGCCAGGGGGUCCCGGGGGGCUGCGGCGGGCCCGGGCAGGGCUGGCCCUGGAGCACCAGGGGGCACCUGGAGCCGUGCGGGCAGCAGCCGGCGGGGCUGCGCUGGUGCGGGGGUUGGUGCAGGCAAAGGCGUCCGGGGACCUGGGGAGGGGAUAAAGACGCCUUGGGAAAUGUCGUGGUAACGCCCGUUCGCGGUAACAUUUGGGAAAUCGCUGUGUCUCUGAGUGGCUGAAAUACCCUGCAAGUUGCAGAAAUUGGACACCCUGGAAGGUGGAAUUCUGCUGCCUGUCCGCAGUGCCACAUAUGCCUCCUGCCCGGGGAGGUGGUGGAGUCCUCCUGUCCACGUAUGCCUCCUGUCCUUGGAGGUGUUUCCUGGACGUAGCACUCAGUGCCAUGGUGUAGUUGACAUGGUGGUGUUCGGUUGUAGGUUGGACUCGAUGAUCUCAGAGGUCUUUUCCAACCUAAUUGAUUCUGUGAUUCUGUAUGUGGUGUUACCAAAUAAAGUGCUCCAAACCCCACGUUCCAUGGCUUUAUUUUAACUAUUCAUAAGGUGAUCAGAGCCUCUGUUUUGCAAGCACAUGGCUGGCUGGUCACGAGCCAAAGCCUUGAUUUCAGUGGCGCAGAGUGGGAUCAGGGGCCGCACCAGUUUGUGUGCUCGGGUUUACUUGGUGAAGGGGCUGUGUGCGCUUGGACCACAACUUUGGAGGCAUCUGCAUGCUUUGCAGUCAAAAAUAGUAACAAACCAAUGAUGCUGACAGUGGUCAGACUAGGAGUAAGCAAAUGACAUGAGAGGAUUUUAGUCCUGUGUGAUUCAAUCAGUGGAUGAAGUUCCACAGCAUUGACCCACCUCAUUAUUGAAAUACAUUUGGUUGCCCUUUGUAGCACAUUCAACAGCUAGGUCAACUUCUAAUAGAAUGUUCAACAACUUUUCUUAUUUCUUUUUCACCAUAGAUUUGUACAAUUGCUCAUGUAACUCCCAAAAAAAUGCCAACCCUUCACCAGUGCAAAGAAGAGAAAUUCUUCAUAAGCGCUGAAGUCAGGAAAGAACCUGUACGAAGUAUACAUGAUCCCACUACAAGGGAACUCUGUUCUGGUGCCUUCAUAUGAUGAGGAAGACUGGUUACCUCUUACGAUGGAUGAAGCUUUGGAUUAUCUCGAAAAAAGGCAGAAGCGAGACUUAUGAAGUCAUAGUGGUUAAUGAUGGCAGUAAAGAUCAAACUACAAAGGUUGCAAUGGAGUACUGCAAGAAAUAUGGUAGUGACAAAAUGGCAUUUGACGUGGAACUUCUUUAUAUAGCCCAGCACUUGAAAAUACCUAUAACAGAAGUUGCUGUCAACUGGACUGAAAUAGAAGGUUCUAAGUUAGUAGAAGUUUGGAGCUGGCUGCAGAUGGGCAGGGAUCUUCUUUUUAUACGACUGCAAUAUAUGACUGGUGCCUGGCAGCUUGAAAGAAGAAAAUAUAAUUAGGUUAUUUACAUUUUCCAAAUAUAUUAUUAUAUUUAAUGGAACAUGAGAACAGUUUCAAUCAAGUGAAGUAGUGAUGAAAGCUGAGGCACAGAUCUCCAAACCUGCCUGCCUACCUCCUUCUUCUGUCUCUCUGGAUUUAUAGCUUCACUUUUAGAGUCUGAAGCAAAGAGCAGUGAGAUGAGCAAUUGUAAUGCCUUAGCUGUGACGGAACAGAGAACUCAGCUGCCCAGCACAAUCUCUGCAAUGCCUCAUUCACCAAUAUGUUGCACAAGAUUGCAGCUGCUUUUUCCACCUGGUUUUCUUCUGAGAAUUAGCAUCUUAAGCCACAAACAUGCAGGAAAAUUGACAUGAGUAGCAUGAAAUAUGUUUGUAAAGAGCAAAUGUUUCAUCCUACCGGUGCUGGAAAAGAGGUGUGACAGAAGACUCCCUGAUGGUUCAAGUGUUUAUUUUUAAACCUGAUACAGAUGUGUCCAAACCGGCUGGACAUUAGUUAGGAUACUGAGAUAUCCAAACUGUCUGUGAAUAAGAAGCAGGGUAAACUGAGCAAGCUCCAAGCUUCUAGACAGCACAAGAGACAUCAAACUUAGCCAACCCCGAGGGUGAGGGGCUGGGGCUGGCCCAGUUCUAUCCUGGAAAGGGGACCUAAAGGUGUGGAGCUAGGCAUCCUGGAAGGGCUUGGGCUCAUUGUUCAAGCAUCCACUGAAGGAGUGAGAAGGUGAUUGCUGCUGUUUGAAUAGUCAGCUGCUUCUUGGCUAGGCUGCCCUGCAUGUCUGACUCCACCCUGCAAUACAGGAACAGCCCUCACUUUCCAGGGCUCUGGCACAGGCAAAGUGGGCAACAGAACCACAGCUAUGUUGCUGUUCUCAAAAAUCUGCUGCCAGAGGCAAGUGCCUGCUGUGUCUUUGCCUUGAGAAAGCCCUUGAGGAAAAUGUAACUCACUCAGUAAAUCCAUGAUACUGUGGCUAUAAGUCUUCUAGUGCCUGCACCAGCACACUUGGAGCUGUUUGAUGUAUCUCCAUCACACAGCACAUGACAUUGCUGUUUUAACAGCUAUUUCUUGUUAGGUGGAGGACAGUGCCAGUACUUCAGCAGAGCCCUGGGGCAGUACAUACAGAGUCAAUGGACUUACAACUCUUAGGAACUUGUAGUUCUCUCCAAGCGGAAAAUGCAUGUUAUUCUAUGUGGUUUACACAGUUCUAAUGCUAAAAGGAAUUAGAAUGCUUCCUUCUCUUUUACAGCUACAUCCAGUCUUUACUAUUUUCUACUUAACCUUUUAUUUAAUUUUCUUUACAUAGCUAUCCAGCAAAAAAAGACAAAAUACAGACCAAAAUAAGGAGGAUACCCUCAUAUCAGGAUUUUGUUUAUGAUUAAAGAAGGUUGGUCCAUGUUUUACAGGACAGGAUUUGAGAAGAUAAGUUACAUCAUGUGCAGAUGAAGGGAAGGCAUUUACAAGGGGCAGGAUGGGAAAUGAGGCACUCAAGAGGGAUAACAGCUAAUGAGAAAUGGAAUUAGCAGAGCCUAGGCGGUGCAGAGGAGGGACAGGUGAUGAGUCACCCUGGCAGGAGGAGCAGAGCCUUAUAAAGCGGACAUAGGCUUUGAAAGCCAUGCUGAAGAUUUGGAAUGAGGAAUGGGUCUGAAAGUGUGUGUGGAGAGAGGGAGAAGGAGAUGUGGGAUAUAUCAGCCCUGCUCCUGAGAAGACACAUAGUUCAAAGGGUUUAUCAGAUCAGAGGUUACACCAGCAUAUAUUCAGCUACCAUAAUAAAGCAUCAUGUGCAAAUGCCACAUGAUCUGAAGUACAAUUGUAUGCAAAAAAAAUUGUUGCCUGCUCUAUAAUCUAUAGUAUGUCAAACUCUAGUAGUAUAUAUACCCAUCUAAUCUCUGUUAGCUAGACUUUUUUCAUAAUGGCACAGUUAAAAUUGGCACCACACAAAUACGAAUGCAAUUCAGUCAUUUCACAAAUAGUUUUUGCCUCUUUAAUGGGAAGCUUCAAUCAAAGUAAAGCUUUAGGAACUGAUCGAUCAAUCUCAACAGCGGCUCUGCUGCUAUCCCCCACCAGCUGGGAUUGCUCCAGUAGCAGUACUGGCAUUUUAAUGAACACUGCCAAUGAAGAUGGACAGGAGAUAGCACAGCAGGCUCUGCAC